rnacentral:rRNA from 1 species
GAUGAACGCUGGCGGCGUGCUUAACGCAUGCAAGUCAAACGGGAAACCUUUUAUUGAAGCUUCGGCAGAUUUAGCUGGUUUCUAGUGGCGGACGGGUGAGUAACGCGUGGGUAACCUGCCUUAUACAGGGGGAUAACAGCCAGAAAUGGUUGCUAAUACCGCAUAACCGCACAGGACCGGAUGGUCUGGUGUGAAAAACUCCGGUGGUAUAAGAUGGACCCGCGUUGGAUUACCUAGUUGGCAGGGUAACGGCCUACCAAGGCGACGAUCCAUAGCCGGCCUGAGAGGGUGAACGGCCACAUUGGGACUGAGACACGGCCCAAACUUCUACGGGAGGCAGCAGUGGGGAAUAUUGCACAAUGGGGGAAACCCUGAUGCAGCGACGCCGCGUGAAGGAAGAAGUAUCUCGGUAUGUAAACUUCUAUCAGCAGGGAAGAUAGUGACGGUACCUGACUAAGAAGCCCCGGCUAACUACGUGCCAGCAGCCGCGGUAAUACGUAGGGGGCAAGCGUUAUCCGGAUUUACUGGGUGUAAAGGGAGCGUAGACGGACUGGCAAGUCUGAUGUGAAAGGCGGGGGCUCAACCCCUGGACUGCAUUGGAAACUGUUAGUCUUGAGUGCCGGAGAGGUAAGCGGAAUUCCUAGUGUAGCGGUGAAAUGCGUAGAUAUUAGGAGGAACACCAGUGGCCAAGGCGGCUUACUGGACGGUAACUGACGUUGAGGCUCGAAAGCGUGGGGAGCAAACAGGAUUCGAUACCCUGGUAGUCCACGCCGUAAACGAAGAAUAACUAGGUGUUGGGGAGCAAAGCUCUUCGGUGCCGCCGCAAACGCAUUAAGUAUUCCACCUGGGGAGUACGUUCGCAAGAAUGAAACUCAAAGGAAUAGACGGGGACCCGCACAAGCGGUGGAGCAUGUGGUUUAAUUCGAAGCAACGCGAAGAACCUUACCAAGUCUUGACAUCCCUCUGACCGUUCCUUAACCGGAACUUUCCUUCGGGACAGGGGAGACAGGUGGUGCAUGGUUGUCGUCAGCUCGUGUCGUGAGAUGUUGGGUUAAGUCCCGCAACGAGCGCAACCCCUAUCCCCAGUAGCCAGCAGUCCGGCUGGGCACUCUGAGGAGACUGCCAGGGAUAACCUGGAGGAAGGCGGGGAGGACGUCAAAUCAUCAUGCCCCCUAUGAUUUGGGCUACACACGUGCUACAAUGGCGUAAACAAAGGGAAGCAAGCCUGCGAAGGUAAGCAAAUCCCAAAAAUAACGUCCCAGUUCGGAGUGCAGUCUGCAACUCGACUGCACGAAGCUGGAAUCGCUAGUAAUCGCGGAUCAGAAUGCCGCGGCGAAUAAAAGGCCGCGUCUUGCACUCCCCGCCCGUCAAGGGC